CUAAAUAAAAGAUUUUACCUCUUCUUCUUUUCACGCCUUAAGCCCCUCAAUUGAGCUCUCUCUCAAAUCCUCCACGCACAGUCCUACCGCCGCCUGCCGCCGCUUCACUGCUCCACCACCUGUCACCGUCCUUGCACCGAUAACUGCGUCGGAACGCUGUGCGUCGUCGAUGACUGGAUGCUGUCGCUGGUUCCACAAAGCAAUGUUGAUGCCACAUGAAGUUCUAAUAUUGAUAUUCCUCCACAAUUGGUGAAUCCAGAUGGAAUUGAAUUGGAAAAGGAUUUGAGCAGGUAGUACUUGUUUAUUCAUUAUGCUGGAUGGCUAAUGAUUUCUCUUAAUUCAUUUAACUUCAUACCCUUCUCGAUAUUGAUGGUUUUCCUCUUUUAAGAUUUUGGUUUAUAUUUCGUGUUUCUACAUUCUAGUUUACUCUUUUGUAAGAUAAUGGGCUAAAUUUUCAUUUGUUAGAACAAUUCAUUUAAGUGAUGCUUAUACACUUUUUAGGUAGUUUUGAGAGUUAAAGUGUCGCUUAGGCACUUUUUAGGAACUUUAUAUGUGUUUUUCAAGGUUAAAAUGACAUUUAUGCACUUUUAGAUUGUUCCAGAGUUAAAGUACCACUUAAGAACUUUUUAUGGGGUUUUGAGAGUCAAAGCAACAUAUAACAAUCAUCAAUGAAACAUACUUUUUAAAUUGUUUUUAGAGUUAAAGUAUCAUUAGAUGUAUUUUUCAUAGUAAAAAAGACACUUGGCCACAUUUUUUUUACUUUUUAGGUAGUUUUGAGAGACGAAGUAACACUUGUGAACCUUUUUGAAGCGUUAUAUGUAGUUUUGAGAAUCAAUUGUAUUUUAUUCUUGUGAAGUCUAUUUGAAUGUUGAAUACAAUUUGAUGUUUUGAUUUUCUUUGAAAUGUACACAAAUAUUUAUAGGUUUUGACCAAAAAUGUUAUGAAUAGUCUUGUUCUUGUUGAUCAAUGGCUUCUAGACUGUUGGUUUCUGGAAAUCUGGUAGAGUUUUGCACUUUGAUCUUUUGAUAUAUUCACUAUUCAUUUGAUGAGAUGUUUCUGAAGGAGUAAAGAAGCUAAUUUUUGUUUGUUUGUUCAAUCAACCAUGAUCUUAUCUUCCCUUGUACUAUUGUUGGCUAUUGUGAUCAGGUGGUUGUUAUUGAAAUGGAUGCAUUUUAUCGCCUUUUAGUUUGUCAUUUCUUCCUCAAAUCUUUUAAGUUCUAUACUUGUUAAUUUUAAAAUGAACCCAGUUUUCUUUGAUUUCAGAUUAUAUACCCGUUGAUUUUUUUUUAAAAAAAAUUAUUUUUUAGCAUUAAACUCGACAAGUCUUGAUGUCACUAAUAAGGUACAAGUUUCACUUUUCUUUUUCUUUUUUAAAAUUUCAGUUGAUUUUUUUGCUCAUUAGAGAAUCCAUACUUCUAACAAAAUUGUUUCAGAUAAUAGGUCAACUUUGAAGAAAUAUAUUCCAUUCACGUGUACAAGAUUUCCUCGACAGGAGGGGAGAUUAAUGUUUGUUAUUAUGAUUUUACUUUUAUUUGAAAGAAAUAACUUUAUGGCUUAUGUAAGUAGAGUGUAGUAAAUUGUUUGAGAAAGUUGUCACUCUUGCUGUUAUACCACUCACUUUUGCCAUUUGAGUUUUGGAGUAUGGUUAUUAGAUUUAUUUGCUUAUUACUGUUCUUUAUUUUAGAUUUCUUAUCAACAAGUUUAGGAUCAUUUUCUUAUCAUUUUCAUGUAAGGUUGUUAAGUUUUAUUGUUAUAAUUUGAUUAGUUAUUUAUGUUCAUGAUAGUUUUGUUGUUGUAUCUUACAAAAGUUUGAAAAGGUUAUUUAUAUGAUUAUUUUCAUGGGGCUUGUAAUGUGAGUUUAAACUUAUUUUUGUGAUUAUAUUGAGUCUUGUACGCUUAAACUUUCAUUUAACCUAUGAAUAUUGUUAUCAUUUUUUACAUUGAUGGAUUAGGUUGAAUUCUAAAAUGAAUGUUGUGAUUUUUAUUAGGUCUUGCAUAAAUCCAUUGAAGUAAAGAAACCGUCAACUGUUGCUCGCCAACUCCGCUGCCGUUCAUUGAUCGUUGUCGCCGUCUCCGAUCUUCUUGCUGUUACCACCGUGAGCCGAUCUACUACCCGCCAUCUCCGAUCUUCUUACUGUUGUUGUCGUCCGUCUUAGGUAAAAUUUUUUUCUUUAUUGUUUUCCAAUAUGUGAAUUUGUUCCUAAAAAAUAGAGAUUGCUUCCAUAGAUCUAUCAUUUUGUUUUCAUUUGGGUUGAUUUAAAUGUAUGAUUCAUGGAUCUACUAUUUUGUUUUUAUUUGGGUUAAUUUA